ensembl:lncRNA
CUCAAUUGAAAUUGCAUUAAAUCUAUAUAUCAGUUUUGGAAGUAUGGGCAUUUUCACUAUAUUAAUCCUUCCUACCCAGGAGCAGGGGAUGUCUGUCCAUUUUCUGAUAUCAUCUUCAAUCUCUCUUUUCAGAGUGCCAUAGUUUUCAGAGAAGAGGUCUUUGAUUUCUUUUGUUAGGUUGAUUCCUAGGUAUUUCAGUUUUUUGGAUGCUAUUGUGAAAGGAAUUAUUUGCCCUAUUUCUCUCUCAGUGAGUCUGUCAUUAGUGUAGAGGAAAGCUAUUGAUUUUUGUGUGUUGACCUUGUAACCAGCUACUUGACUGAAUUUGGUUAUUAAGUCUAGAAGACUUGGUGGAGU